UCCCUGGUGGUCUGGUAGUUAAGACUCUGCACUCUCAAUGCAGGGGCCCCAGGUUCAAUCUCUGGCCAGAGAA
rnacentral:tRNA from 1 species